rnacentral:tRNA from 4 species
UCCCCUGUAGCUCAAUGGUAGAGCAUCUCGCUGUUAACGAGAGGGUUGCUGGUUCGAGUCCAGCCGGGGGAGCCA